UACUCUUCAGUCUCAUCUCGCUGGAAUAGUGUUGUCAUGUGUGAAGAUAUACACGAAAUUGAGUAAGUAACUGAAGUACUUUCAUUUAUGGUGGGCGAUGUACUACUGCUCUUGUGUCUUUUGUGUGUGGAAGCUGAGCUUAGACUCUACUACAUUUACCCGCGCAGUGCUCUUUGCUUAGUAACAGGUGCACUGCAAACACAUGCAGUUGGCUAUGCCCCAUGUCAUUUUAGAAAAGAAUGGAAAAUAUGUACAUUUAGGAUAUUCAAAGGAUGUAGUAAAAACUGCUACUGUACAACAAUCUAGCUGGUUAUCUUCAGUUAAUAGCUAUAUUUGCGCGGGAGGGUCUGAUCCGUUAAUGGGGGAGGGGUGGUGAGGGGUAUGCACAGAACUAGAACUUGAUCGAACACGUUGCAUGCUCACGAGAACAGAGGGCUGGCGUCGUUUCGGUGUGUUCAUUUUAAGCCAAGUAUUCUAUUUUUAAAGUUUUCUUUUCUUAUCCAACCCAGGUGUUUAAUGCACACAUGCACUUGUGGUCUUAACCGAAGAUUAAUCAAAUGACUUCUGCUGCACUGUUCGAAGUCUGUAAGAUCAGUGCUGAAUUCAAAAGAAUAACCACAGUUCCCCUGCAAUCCAAGCAACUGUUGCUGAAUUGGCUGAUUUGUACAAGAUGCACCAUUUCUGAGGACUUCUGGCACAGUGGCCUGCACUGUUCAAAGUUUGCAAGAUCAGUGCUGAAUUGAAAAGAAUCACCACAGUCCCACUGCAAUGCCCUGCACUGUUCCAAGUCCACAAGGUCAUGGAUGAAGUUGCCGUAGACGAAGCAAUUGAAGACAUCACUAUUGGAAUCUGCUCUGACAGAAGAUUGGGCAUCCCACCCUUAGGACAUUGUCAGUUUUAGUGUAUGUCUGUCACACACGUGACACCCAAUCGGAAAGGACUCUUUUUUUCAGCAACUAAAAAACAGCAGUUAUUGGUGGUCCACAAAGAGGACAACCAAAUGAAUGGUGGACUGCCAGAUGCACGCGCACAUGCAUACAGUAUACGCGCAUGAACGCACACACGCACACCUACAAGUGUGGA